UUGAAUGUUCUGUAUGUAUUUGUGCUCAACUGUUUGUGCUUGCUUGCAAACAGUUGGAGAAGCGUGAUUUUUAAAUUUUGUGCAAAAAUGUUAUAUUGUAGUGUAGAAAAUUGCAAAAAAGGGACAUAUACGAAAAUGUGCCAAGGAUUUUCAUCGUUUAGAUUACCAAAAUCUAUUUCAACCAUUUCGCAGUCGAAGAAAAUGGCUCAAAUUCGCUGGGGUUAAAGAAACUACAAAGUUUCGAAUCUGUGCGGAGCAUUUUGACAAAAAAUGUUUUAAAACAUUUCACCCCAGGCCCUUAUUGAAGCCAGAUGCAAUUCCAACUUUGCACAAAGAAAAGAAGUGCACUGCAGGGCGAAGUUGAUAUUACAGCAGCGAGACAGAAAUUGUCAGUAUUGCUACUACUAUAGACACUCAAACUAAGGGAAAUCAAAGUGACUCCACCAGUGAGGAAUUAAAUAUUUCGAAAACGCCAGCCUCAACGCUGAAUGGAGAAAAUAUGGUGUCACAAGUUGAACUUGCUUGUAGUAAAGUUCGAAAUAUAACAAUAACUGGUAAGACUUUUAAAACGUUUACUCUAUAUAAUUUAGGAGAGUGUACUCUAAAAAUACAAUUUGAACGAUAAAAAUUAGUUAAUAUCUUUAUAUUGUACAUGUGUGUCAUUUUUGGUUUUAUUGAGUACAUAAUAUAAUUAUAUAAAGUAAAUAAAAUAUGAAUGACAAUAAUAUUUUAAAUAAACAAAAGUUUUUCAGGAAUUUCUGGAUUAAAAGUUAUUUAUUAAGAUAAAUUAAAACUCUUGUAAAUCGUCUCGUUAAUUUAUAUUAAUAA